CAAAAUAUAUUUAUUUUCUUGAAAAAAAUAUAUUGAAUAAUAAUAAUAAUAAUUCAAUUGACUUUAACUGAACCCCAAAAAUAUAUUACUUUUUUACAACAACAACAACAACAACAAAAAAUCGUCAAAAAUCUAAGUCAUCAUAUAUUAUUGCAUCAUAUAAUGCGGUUUUAAAAAAAUAAAACGUUGUUUGAGUCAUCACUUAAAAUCUAACCAUCCCCUUCACCUACAGUCCCCCCUAUAAAUUGAUACACGAUUCUGGGUAUAUAUAUAUAUAUAUAUCAUCAUGGGUAAUAGAAUCGUAUUGGAAAGUACUAUACUGUACUAUUAUAGUACCAGUGCCAGGAGCUACAAGUGCUGGGAGGUGGGUGGCGGCAUCAUAAAUACACAUACAGUACAUACAUACGCUCAUACAAGCCGUAAAAGUUGUUAAAAAAAGAUUUCAUUGGAAAUUGCCAACUAAUUUCUACCUGUUUUUUAAAAUAUGAUUGCAAUUUUGCACCUGUAGUUUGGUUGGUAAAAAAAGUACCCAGUUAUUAUAGCUGACACUUGGAUAUGUGACCCAUGAUUUGACUGAAAUGAUGAUAUGUUAUGAAGAUUAGCGACAAUUUCCAACAAUUAAUAAAUAUUAUCAUUAGUUUAAUUACUUUUUAAAAACUAUCAUUAAUGAGAUAUCAUAUAAAUGAUUUAUCAUUUUGUUUUAAAUAGUAUUUUUUGUAUGUAUUUAUUUAUUUCUAUAGUAAAUGCUAUCUUGUAUUUUACUUACUAUCAAAUUGUGAUAAGUUAACUGUGAUAAUAAUAAUAAUA